GGGGAUGUAGCUCAGCUGGGAGAGCAUUACGUUCGCAACGUAGGGGUCGGGGGUUCGAAUCCCCUCAUCUCCACCA
rnacentral:tRNA from 1 species